GAUGAACGCUGGCGGCGUGCCUAAUACAUGCAAGUCGAGCGAACAGACGAGGAGCUUGCUCCUCUGACGUUAGCGGCGGACGGGUGAGUAACACGUGGAUAACCUACCUAUAAGACUGGGAUAACUUCGGGAAACCGGAGCUAAUACCGGAUAAUAUAUUGAACCGCAUGGUUCAAUAGUGAAAGACGGUUUUGCUUUCACUUAUAGAUGGAUCCGCGCCGCAUUAGCUAGUUGGUAAGGUAACGGCUUACCAAGGCAACGAUGCGUAGCCGACCGGAGAGGGUGAUCGGCCACACUGGAACUGAGACACGGUCCAGACUCCUACGGGAGGCAGCAGUAGGGAAUCUUCCGCAAUGGGCGAAAGCCUGACGGAGCAACGCCGCGUGAGUGAUGAAGGUCUUCGGAUCGUAAAACUCUGUUAUUAGGGAAGAACAAAUGUGUAAGUAACUAUGCACGUCUUGACGGUACCUAAUCAGAAAGCCACGGCUAACUACGUG
rnacentral:rRNA from 1 species